rnacentral:rRNA from 1 species
UACAGAGGGUGCAAGCGUUGUUCGGAAUUAUUGGGCGUAAAGGGCGCGUAGGCGGUGCGGUAAGUCUGCGGUGAAAUCUCCCGGCUCAACUGGGAGUCUGCCGUGGAAACUGCCGUGCUUGAGUGUGGGAGAGGUGAGUGGAAUUCCCGGUGUAGCGGUGAAAUGCGUAGAUAUCGGGAGGAACGACCUGUGGCGAAAGCGGCUCACUGGACCACAACUGACGCUGAGGCGCGAAAGCUAGGGGAGCAAACAGG